CGUGAAUGUUUCUACUGCUGUAUGAGGAUGAAGAAAUUUUGUGAAAUAUGCAAUCUCUUUAUGGCAUGUCGGCAUGUAAGCUGGUGAACAUCGAUGAAUUUGCAUGCAUUUCUAUGUAGAAAUUUUAGAUACGUACAUUUUGAUGGUUGCUCAUUGUUAUACUUGCACUCAAGCCAUGCUCGCCUCCUGGUUUCUUGUUUCCAUGCGGAAGCUUAAGCUGGAAACAUCCAUCAUUCAUGUUGUUCCAGUCACGCUGUCUGGCUGGUUGCAUUAUCGGGUGGAAGCCUAACGUUAUGUGGUUGAUGUGCUAGUUCUGCAUUUCUCAUGUCAUUUAUUAAAGCAGGCGAUAUUAUGCAUUGAAAUGGAUGUAGAUGUUUGUGUUUAUAUGUGGUGAAGACGUGAAGUUGUAGCAGUUUUGCUUUUUUUUCUCGUGUUCUUUGCAGUUCAUAUAUUUAGCCCAUCUUUGACACUAAAUAUACCUUGUGCUUGUUAGGAGACAAGCAGAAUUUGGUCAGCUCGUAAUGCGAAUAUGCCUCAAAAUGUAGUGACAUAAAAGGCAACUACGGCAAGAGUAGGAGACCUCAUGGAGGGCAAAAUCAAGUUAGUGGCGACAACAUAAUAUGUAGAGUAUGUCCAGAGUCGGACUUGCAGCAGCGCUCAGCUUAUCAGUUUGAUUGGCUUACCUAGUGGUAGUGCAAAAUUACCUCCGAUGCACACUUUUAUUCAUGCCUAGGAAAAGAUAUCCAGUGACAUGCAUGGCAAACCAAAUUUGAUGGUUAUCUUUUGUUGAAAGCUAACAUGUACGAUGAGACCUGAUGAGGCCUGCCAGAUCAACUGCUGGAGGGAGCGGUGCACACCGGGAGCGGUUGGCAGUUUUUUGAGGUGGUUUUGGUGGAGGGGAGAGGUGGAUGCGGUAUGUCCUACUGUAGCAGCAGGAGCGAGAGGGAGAAGUGUGUGCAGGAGGGAGCUACCAUGGCCACCAUAUCUGACUAGCCGGACUUGCUUUUUCCCCCUGUUAUUGAGCUGAUGGAUGUUAGUUGCUCCAGCGACGUGGUAUUUUGUUUCCUAGAAGAUCGAGGGCGAUGUCAUGCUAUCGCAGUAGCUUGUCAUAGAAUAGAAAAUGCUAGCUUGCUCCUUUAGAUUGUAUAAUGUUAUGUGAAGCCUAGCUUAAGAUUGCUGUCAUGUUCAACAUGUAGAUUCGGCAAUGAAAGCCAUUGGCAGCAUAAUUUUUGAAGGCCAGUGAAAACUUGAAUGAAACCUUUGUAAAAUUCAGCAUCA